GACGUAGGGGGCGAGCGUUGUUCGGAUUCAUUGGGCGUAAAGGGUGUGUAGGUGGCGCGCUAAGUCGGGUGUGAAAUUUCGGAGCUUAACUCCGAAACUGCAUUCGAUACUGGCGUGCUUGAGGACUGGAGAGGAGACUGGAAUUCAUGGUGUAGCAGUGAAAUGCGUAGAGAUCAUGAGGAAGACCAGUGGCGAAGGCGGGUCUCUGGACAGUUCCUGACACUGAGACACGAAGGCCAGGGGAGCAAACGGG
rnacentral:rRNA from 1 species